rnacentral:rRNA from 1 species
AGCGUACACGGUGGAUGCCCUGGCAGUCAGAGGCGAUGAAGGGCGUACUAAUCUGCGAUAAGCGCCGGUAAGGUGAUAUGAACCGUUAUAACCGGCGAUACCCGAAUGGGGAAACCCAGUGUGAUUCGUCACACUAUCAUUAACUGAAUCCAUAGGUUAAUGAGGCGAACCGGGGGAACUGAAACAUCUAAGUACCCCGAGGAAAAGAAAUCAACCGAGAUUCCCCCAGUAGCGGCGAGCGAACGGGGAGGAGCCCAGAGCCUGAAUCAGCAUGUGUGUUAGUGGAAGCGUCUGGAAAGGCGCGCGAUACAGGGUGACAGCCCCGUACACAAAAGCGCAUGUGCUGUGAGCUCGAUGAGUAGGGCGGGACACGUGGUAUCCUGUCUGAAUAUGGGGGGACCAUCCUCCAAGGCUAAAUACUCCUGACUGACCGAUAGUGAACCAGUACCGUGAGGGAAAGGCGAAAAGAACCCCGGCGAGGGGAGUGAAAAAGAACCUGAAACCGUGUACGUACAAGCAGUGGGAGCACCCUUUGGGUGUGACUGCGUACCUUUUGUAUAAUGGGUCAGCGACUUAUAUUCUGUAGCAAGGUUAACCGAAUAGGGGAGCCGGAGGGAAACCGAGUCUUAAUUGGGCGUUAAGUUGCAGGGUAUAGACCCGAAACCCGGUGAUCUAGCCAUGGGCAGGUUGAAGGUUGGGUAACACUAACUGGAGGACCGAACCGACUAAUGUUGAAAAAUUAGCGGAUGACCUGUGGCUGGGGGUGAAAGGCCAAUCAAACCGGGAGAUAGCUGGUUCUCCCCGAAAGCUAUUUAGGUAGCGCCUCGUGAAUUCAUCUCCGGGGGUAGAGCACUGUUUCGGCUAGGGGGCCAUCCCGGCUUACCAACCCGAUGCAAACUGCGAAUACCGGAGAAUGUUAUCACGGGAGACACACGGCGGGUGCUAACGUCCGUCGUGAAGAGGGAAACAACCCAGACCGCCAGCUAAGGUCCCAAAGUCAUGGUUAAGUGGGAAACGAUGUGGGAAGGCCCAGACAGCCAGGAUGUUGGCUUAGAAGCAGCCAUCAUUUAAAGAAAGCGUAAUAGCUCACUGGUCGAGUCGGCCUGCGCGGAAGAUGUAACGGGGCUAAACCAUGCACCGAAGCUGCGGCAGCGACACUGUGUGUUGUUGGGUAGGGGAGCGUUCUGUAAGCCUGUGAAGGUGUGUCGUGAGGCAUGCUGGAGGUAUCAGAAGUGCGAAUGCUGACAUAAGUAACGAUAAAGCGGGUGAAAAGCCCGCUCGCCGGAAGACCAAGGGUUCCUGUCCAACGUUAAUCGGGGCAGGGUGAGUCGACCCCUAAGGCGAGGCCGAAAGGCGUAGUCGAUGGGAAACGGGUUAAUAUUCCCGUACUUGGUGUUACUGCGAAGGGGGGACGGAGAAGGCUAUGUUGGCCGGGCGACGGUUGUCCCGGUUUAAGCGUGUAGGUGUGUGUUCCAGGUAAAUCCGGUUCACUUUAACACUGAGGCGUGACGACGAGGCACUACGGUGCUGAAGCAACAAAUGCCCUGCUUCCAGGAAAAGCCUCUAAGCAUCAGGUAACAUCAAAUCGUACCCCAAACCGACACAGGUGGUCAGGUAGAGAAUACCAAGGCGCUUGAGAGAACUCGGGUGAAGGAACUAGGCAAAAUGGUGCCGUAACUUCGGGAGAAGGCACGCUGACACGUAGGUGAAGUGAUUUACUCAUGGAGCUGAAGUCAGUCGAAGAUACCAGCUGGCUGCAACUGUUUAUUAAAAACACAGCACUGUGCAAACACGAAAGUGGACGUAUACGGUGUGACGCCUGCCCGGUGCCGGAAGGUUAAUUGAUGGGGUCAGCGCAAGCGAAGCUCCUGAUCGAAGCCCCGGUAAACGGCGGCCGUAACUAUAACGGUCCUAAGGUAGCGAAAUUCCUUGUCGGGUAAGUUCCGACCUGCACGAAUGGCGUAAUGAUGGCCAGGCUGUCUCCACCCGAGACUCAGUGAAAUUGAACUCGCUGUGAAGAUGCAGUGUACCCGCGGCAAGACGGAAAGACCCCGUGAACCUUUACUAUAGCUUGACACUGAACAUUGAGCCUUGAUGUGUAGGAUAGGUGGGAGGCUUUGAAGUGUGGACGCCAGUCUGCAUGGAGCCGACCUUGAAAUACCACCCUUUAAUGUUUGAUGUUCUAACGUGGACCCGUUACCCGGGUUGCGGACAGUGUCUGGUGGGUAGUUUGACUGGGGCGGUCUCCUCCUAAAGAGUAACGGAGGAGCACGAAGGUUGGCUAAUCCUGGUCGGACAUCAGGAGGUUAGUGCAAUGGCAUAAGCCAGCUUGACUGCGAGCGUGACGGCGCGAGCAGGUGCGAAAGCAGGUCAUAGUGAUCCGGUGGUUCUGAAUGGAAGGGCCAUCGCUCAACGGAUAAAAGGUACUCCGGGGAUAACAGGCUGAUACCGCCCAAGAGUUCAUAUCGACGGCGGUGUUUGGCACCUCGAUGUCGGCUCAUCACAUCCUGGGGCUGAAGUAGGUCCCAAGGGUAUGGCUGUUCGCCAUUUAAAGUGGUACGCGAGCUGGGUUUAGAACGUCGUGAGACAGUUCGGUCCCUAUCUGCCGUGGGCGCUGGAGAACUGAGGGGGGCUGCUCCUAGUACGAGAGGACCGGAGUGGACGCAUCACUGGUGUUCGGGUUGUCAUGCCAAUGGCACUGCCCGGUAGCUAAAUGCGGAAGAGAUAAGUGCUGAAAGCAUCUAAGCACGAAACUUGCCCCGAGAUGAGUUCU